AGAUGCAGAUGCUGAGUUUUAGAAGCUUGAAAGAAAUUUUUCAAAGUUACAGAUAUAAUAAAAAGGAACAUUGUCUAAUUCAUCACGGCCCUUACAUCAUCUAUGCCUACCACCGAGCCAAUGAGAAGACAUUCAAUAAAGAUGGUCGGUCCAAAUCCUUUUCUUAGCUAAUGUGUGUAUAUACCCAUGUAUUGAAGACAUGUUGGCAAGCUACAUCAGACAAGAAAGACCCUGACCUCGUGGGGUUUAUGAUCUUCAAGUUAUUUCAGAAAGGUAGACAGACAGACGGAAGGGAAAAAAUAAGGAAGGAGAAACUAAUAUUAUGUAUCACUACAAAAUGCCGAGAAAACACAAAGGUCCUGACCUUGCAUAUAAAAACUGUUGGAUAUGUCAACACUGAAAAUAGGAAAGCUGCCUUCAAGAGAAAGUGGAUCAACUCAGGACUAAGUUGUAAGAUGACGUGAGCCUAAGGCUCAAGAUCUUUUUUAGAGUCUAAGAAGUUCAAGAACAUGGUGCCAGCCUCUGGUGAGGUCCUUCUUGCCCCAUCAUCACAUGUGGGGGACAUCACAUGGUGAGAGGGCAAGAGAAUGUGUGUCA